GCGCCCACAGCGCGGUAAUACGUAGGGUGCAGCGUUAUCCGGAAUUAUUGGGCGUAAAGGGCUCGUAGGCGGUUCGUCGCGUCCGGUGUGAAAGUCCAUCGCUUAACGGUGGAUCCGCGCCGGGUACGGGCGGGCUUGAGUGCGGUAGGGGAGACUGGAAUUCCCGGUGUAACGGUGGAAUGUGUAGAUAUCGGGAAGAACACCAAUGGCGAAGGCAGGUCUCUGGGCCGUUACUGACGCUGAGGAGCGAAAGCGUGGGGAGCGAACAGGAUUAGAUACCCUGGUAGUCCACGCCGUAAACGGUGGAUGCUGGAUGUGGGGCCCGUUCCACGGGUUCCGUGUCGGAGCUAACGCGUUAAGCAUCCCGCCUGGGGAGUACGGCCGCAAGGCUAAAACUCAAAGAAAUUGACGGGGGCCCGCACAAGCGGCGGAGCAUGCGGAUUAAUUCGAUGCAACGCGAAGAACCUUACCUGGGCUUGACAUGUUCCCGACGGUCGUAGAGAUACGGCUUCCCUUCGGGGCGGGUUCACAGGUGGUGCAUGGUCGUCGUCAGCUCGUGUCGUGAGAUGUUGGGUUAAGUCCCGCAACGAGCGCAACCCUCGCCCCGUGUUGCCAGCGGAUUAUGCCGGGAACUCACGGGGGACCGCCGGGGUUAACUCGGAGGAAGGUGGGGAUGACGUCAGAUCAUCAUGCCCCUUACGUCCAGGGCUUCACGCAUGCUACAAUGGCCGGUACAACGGGAUGCGACGCGGCGACGCGGAGCGGAUCCCUGAAAACCGGUCUCAGUUCGGAUCGCAGUCUGCAACUCGACUGCGUGAAGGCGGAGUCGCUAGUAAUCGCGAAUCAGCAACGUCGCGGGAAUGCGUACUGACAUGA
rnacentral:rRNA from 1 species